GAUCCUGGCUCAAAAUGAACGCUAGCUACAGGCUUAACACAUGCAAGUCGAGGGGCAGCAUGGUCUUAGCUUGCUAAGGCCGAUGGCGACCGGCGCACGGGUGAGUAACGCGUAUCCAACCUGCCUUACACUCUUGGACAGCCUUCUGAAAGGGAGAUUAAUACAAGAUGUUAUCAUGGGUAAGCAUUUUCGCAUGAUUAAAGGUUUACCGGUGUAAGAUGGGGAUGCGUUCCAUUAGA
rnacentral:rRNA from 1 species